UACAAUUUGGUUUAUCCAGAUGUGUAAAAACUAGGAGAAAGGUGUAGAAAGCACCAGCAUAACAAUGUGAAACCAGGCUUUGAAAAGAGAAAUAGCUCAGGAUCACAGAAACCAACCUCUGGAAGAGCUAGGAGUUAUAUCUCCUGAAUUGCACUAUAGUAUACUAAGCACAGUAUUCUCUUUCCUCCCCUGCUGUCAUUUUGUGAUGUAAAAUAUUCAAUUGCUGACCACACAUAUACAGCAAACUGACCCAUCGCUUUCCGGGGAAAAUUACCAAGCAGAAAAGAAAUGUUCAGACAUCCAAAGAAUUGUAAAAUCAAAGCUCUUAUGCCCUUUUCUCCUGCCAGGAUUAAAACGUAGUCCCUGAAGCUUCAUUCAAGUCUGGACCCAUUCUCAAGUUCUUUUUCCCAAACUGUGGCCCAGAUCAUACCCUUAAAUUCUGCAGAUGCACAGAGAAAAGCAAGAAGAGAACUAUCAGACACAGCAGAAGUCUGUGCUUUGCUGUGAAGAAGCUGUUUUCACGGCCCUGUGCUCUGCUGAGCUGAGAUGGGUGGAUACUGGAUGGAUGAUGGUGUCUGUGGGAAGCAUGGCAUGAGGUGAAGGGAAGAAAGGAAAACCCCAGAAGAUGGGAAGACAGCCAAGCUUUAGAAAGCUUUUUUUUUUUUUUUUUUUUUUUUUUUUUAAUGAAACAAUUAAAUAGAGAAGAUUUAAAAAUAAUUUGACUGUUGCAUUGCAGCUCCAGUUUCUUUCCUGGGAAAAGUGAAUUAACUUCAAAUGCUGAACAUUG
rnacentral:lncRNA from 1 species